rnacentral:misc_RNA from 1 species
GGAAGUAAAAGACGUAACAAGGUUUCCGUAGGUGAACCUGCGGAAGGAUCAUUAAUGAGUUGUCAUGGGGUUCGAUGCUGGCAGCCAAUUUUUGGAUGCAUGUGCUUGCCCUAACAAUCAUCUUCCAAACACCUGUGCACAUUUUUGAGGGAGUCUUGAGUUGGUUGCCGCUCUUGGGUGAUUUUCUCACAUUCCCUUAAAUCAUUAUACGCUAUUAACAAUGUUGAACGUGCUCUGUGCCGCAAGGCUAUUAAUAUAAUACAACUUUUAACAACGGAUCUCUUGGCUCUC